AAAAGGAUCUUUUGCAUUUUUUUAUGUGAUAAAACUUAUUCAACUCAAGAUGGGUUUUUUAAACAUGAGGAAACACUAUUUCCUUUUUUCCAUAUAGCUUAAUGUGCUUUAUGUCAUUUAAAACUUGAGUUGGAUCAACUAACUUGUACUACUUUUCAACUGGCUUAUUAUCAGUUAAGACACCUCAGUGCUAUAUUGAGUGCAGGAAAGACUCGAGAUAUGAAAUUUCCGCAUGCAGGGUUUAAUAACCGGUGGGCUUCCAACUUUUAUUGAUGUGAGUAAUAGCUUUGGUGCACCAGCUACUAUUGAAGAUAAUUUGAUACAUCAGCAACCCAUUGUUUAUCACCGUCGUCUUUCUCUUGCAAUCUGUCAUCACACCUCUUGGAGAUGAUGCACCCGUAAAAAAGGCGUUCUAUUGUCAUCUUUUGGUAAAGGGAUCUUCUGAGUAGCUGGUUAUAGAAUUUAAUAAUGUUGUCUUAAUAGAAGCAAACAGUUGUUUGUAUGGUUGAAAGUGUUGUGCCCAGUGAUCCCAUCGUUGUUUUCUUGCUUAACGAAGUGGUGGUCAAAGAUUAUUGCAAGAGGACGUUCAGAGAUCUACAUUGAUGUGUUCAACGAGUUUAUAGCCUUGGCCGACAGGCCGGGGUAAUCUUUGAGAUUUCAUCGUGAUGGGGACCCAAGCCACCUCUUCUUCAUUUCUUAGCUUUGCCUUUCAUAUAGUUAUUCGUCAUUGUUAUGAAAAACACAUG